UGGCGGACGGGUGAGUAACACGUGGGUAACCUGCCCUUUAGCGGGGGAUAACACUUGGAAACAGGUGCUAAUACCGCAUAAUCUUUUUUCUCGCAUGAGUAAAAAGUGAAAGACGCUUUUGCGUCACUAAAGGAUGGACCCGCGCUGCAUUAGCUAGUUGGUGAGGUAACGGCUCACCAAGGCCACGAUGCAUAGCCGACCUGAGAGGGUGAUCGGCCACACUGGGACUGAGACACGGCCCAGACUCCUACGGGAGGCAGCAGUAGGGAAUCUUCGGCAAUGGACGAAAGUCUGACCGAGCAACGCCGCGUGAGUGAAGAAGGUUUUCGGAUCGUAAAACUCUGUUGUUAGAGAAGAAUAAGGAUGAGAGUAGAAAGUUCAUCCCUUGACGGUAUCUAACCAGAAAGCCACGGCUAACUACGUGCCAGCAGCCGCGGUAAUACGUAGGUGGCAAGCGUUGUCCGGAUCUAUUGGGCGUA
rnacentral:rRNA from 1 species